AUUAGCGGCGGACGGGUGAGUAACACGUGAGUAACCUGCCUUAGACAUUGGGAUAGCCUCGGGAAACCGGGAUUAAUACCAAAUAAAAUCAUAAUGACACAUGUCAUAACGAUCAAAACUCCGGUGGUCUAAGAUGGACUCGCGUCCCAUUAGCUAGUUGGUAGAGUAAAAGCCUACCAAGGCGACGAUGGGUAGCCGGCCUGAGAGGGUGACCGGCCACAUUGGGACUGAGAUACGGCCCAG
rnacentral:rRNA from 1 species